AACGUAGGUUCCGAGCGUUAUCCGGAUUUACUGGGCGUAAAGCGCGUGCAGGCGGCCACGCAAGUCGGGCAUGAAAUCUCUCGGCUCAACCGGGAGAAGCUGUCCGAUACUGCGCGGCUUGAGGACGGAAGAGGCGGGUGGAAUUCCGCAUGUAGUGGUGAAAUGCGUAGAGAUGCGGAGGAACACCAGUGGCGAAGGCGGCUUACUGGUCCGGUUCUGACGCUGAGGCGCGAAAGCGUGGGGAGCAAACAGG
rnacentral:rRNA from 1 species